GAUGAACGCUGGCGGCGUGCCUAAUACAUGCAAGUCGAGCGAACGGACGAGAAGCUUGCUUCUCUGAUGUUAGCGGCGGACGGGUGAGUAACACGUGGAUAACCUACCUAUAAGACUGGGAUAACUUCGGGAAACCGGAGCUAAUACCGGCUAAUAUUUUGAACCGCAUGGUUCAAAAGAGAAAGACGGUCUUGCUGUCACUUAUAGAUGGAUCCGCGCUGCAUUAGCUAGUUGGUAAGGUAACGGCUUACCAAGGCAACGAUGCAUAGCCGACCUGAGAGGGUGAUCAGCCACACUGGAACUGAGACACGGUCCAGACUCCUACGGGAGGCAGCAGUAGGGAAUCUUCCGCAAUGGGCGCAAGCCUGACGGAGCCACGCCGCGUGGGUGAUGAAGGUCUUCGGAUCGUAAAACUCUGUUAUUAGGGAAGAACAUAUGUGUAAGUAACUGUGCACAUCUUGACGGUACCUAAUCAGAAAGCCACGGCUAACUACGUG
rnacentral:rRNA from 1 species